rnacentral:lncRNA from 1 species
ACCAAGCCGUCAAUCCCCGCAUCCAAAAUCUGCACAAUAAUGACACAUGAAAAGCUGAUAUCAUUUCCCGGAGAAGUGUACCGCACGAUAUCUUGCUAAAUACGACCGCCAACACCCAUUGGCCAAGUCAUGUCGUUUAAACCGGUCAAAUUUCUCCAGAAGAAUGCACGAGGUCCGCUUAUCGAGGACCCAUCCGGCCGUAACCCCGACAAGCAGAGGGACUAACUGUAUGGGUCCAAAUUUGACCAACCUCGACCUAUGAUGAGUACAACCAACGACCGAGUAACUUCGAGUUGGCGUCCAGAGGAAGACGUCCUUAAGGUAAAAGUAGAAAUUGCACGACCCUUGUAGAAAUGUAAGCCCAUUAGGAGACAUUGAGAAUAUUUUGUCGAAUAUUCCUUGUUGUAGAAAUGUAAGCCCAAAUUGAGAAUAUUUUGUUGGAUAUUCCUUGUAUUUUUAUUUCUUAUGAUUCUAAAUGUCUUCUUGCUAGUAUAUAAU